GUUGGUGUGUGUCUCAUUCUGACUCCCUCCCAGGUCCUACCCAGGAGAGAUGGGGUUGGUGUGUGUCUCAUUCUGACUCCCUCCCAGGUCCUACCCAGGAGAGAUGGGGUUGGUGUGUGUCUCAUUCUGACUCCCUCCCAGGUCCUACCCAGGAGAGAUGGGGCCUAAAUACUGUAGCAUGCCUCUGCAUGUGUGCGUGUGUGUCUCAUUCUGACUCCCUCGCAGGUCCUACCCAGGAGAGAUGGGGUUGGUGUGUGUCUCAUUCUGACUCCCUCGCAGGUCCUACCCAGGAGAGAUGGGGUUGGUGUGUGUCUCAUUCUGACUCCCUCACAGGUCCUACCCAGGAGAGAUGUGGUUGGUGUGUGUCUCAUUCUGACUCCCUCCCAGGUCCUACCCAGGAGAGAUGGGGUUGGUGUGUGUCUCAUUCUGACUCCCUCACAGGUCCUACCCAGGAGAGAUGGGGCCUAAAUACUGUAGCAUGCCUCUGCAUGUGUGCGUGUGUGUCUCAUUCUGACUCCCUCGCAGGUCCUACCCAGGAGAGAUGGGGUUGGUGUGUGUCUCAUUCUGACUCCCUCGCAGGUCCUACCCAGGAGAGAUGGGGUUGGUGUGUGUCUCAUUCUGACUCCCUCACAGGUCCUACCCAGGAGAGAUGUGGUUGGUGUGUGUCUCAUUCUGACUCCCUCACAGGUCCUACCCA